CUGAAAACCGGAGACGCAGAAGAGAGAGUGUGAUGUUAUUUAUUGGACUGUAACCAUGGAGCUGUUGCCGGGGAACAAACCAUCGCCAACAAAAGGGUGGAUUCAUCCAUUCACCAAGCGGAGAGCAAAAGGAGGAGGAGGAGGAGGAGGUAUUCGAUUUGAGACGACCCUACCCCGCUGAAAUACACGCACUACUCAAGUUUCUGAAGGACGUUUGUGCUUCGCUUCACCAGCAGCUGAAAAUGGACUCUCUGAACCGGCGUCGGGUCUCAGGAGUAAUUGAGCAAAGAGAAGCAGGAGCAGCUUCAUCCACGACUGAGAUUAACCCUGAAACCGUCUGCAAAUAGUGAGGGAUGAUGCUCAGAAUAAAGGACCAGGCAGAAACAGGAGCAGCUGUUCACUGAGCUGACGACCUCCAACAUGGCCGAAGGUAAUAUCACAUAUUUAUCCAAACUGUGGAUCGCAGCCUAAAUGCACAGCUCUGACGGCAGACUGAGGGCCGGUUCAGCCUCCGACCACCAACCACAGCUCCAUUAUCAGCUCAGAUGGAGGCUGUUGGCUCAGACUAACAACCUGUGACCCAUUUAACACAUCAGCUAACUCCGUUUUAGCUUCCUCUGCCGUGGAUGAGCUGCCGGACACUCGAUUCCUGUCCCCGCUGGUUCUCACAUUAUCCUGUUUUGGUUUGUUGCUCCGGAGGGAGCGGGCCCAUUUACACCACAAGCUGAGAUCCCAGAGAGGACGGAGGAUGGCCUCUUUUACAUUUCACACAUGAAGCUGCUGCUGGACUCCAGGAGACACAUGGUCCAGUUCUACCUGUUCACAUCACAGCUUUACACCGCCGGAACCGAGCCAAGUACUGGUACUCAGGUACUCUGUUACAGUACGUUACUUUAUACUUCUACAUCUCAGAGGGAAAUGUUGUUCCUUUUACUGCUCUACAUUUAUUUAAUAACUUCAUUUACUUUACAGAUUCAGAUUAAUAAUAGAAAAUAUAAUCAUUAAAUAUUAUAUCAACAAGACUUUAUUGAUCCUCAGGAGGAAAUUCACAAACUACCAGCAGAAUAUGAAGUCAUUAAAAGUAGCUCCAUCUUUACCAGCUGUUACAGCUGUAACAUCAAUAACACGUCAAUUUAACUGUUAGUAUCACAUUCCUCUUUGCUCGGCGUAAUAUAUAUCUUAAAUUAAUUCAGACUAACAGUCUCACAAAAGUCUCAUUUACUGGAGGAAGAGACGCGACCAUCACCUGGUUCACCUGCUUUACCUCACCUGUUUAGUCAGCUCUCACCUGUUCAAUCAGCUCUCACCUGUUCAAUCAGCUCUCACCUGUUAAAUCAGCUCUCACCUGUUCAAUCAGCUCUCACCUGUUCAAUCAGCUCUCACCUGUUCAAUCAGCUCUCACCUGUUAAAUCAGCUCUCACCUGUUCAAUCAGCUCUCACCUGUUCAAUCAGCUCUCACCUGUUCAAUCAGCUCUCACCUGUUCAAUCAGCUCUCACCUGUUAAAUCAGCUCUCACCUGUUCAAUCAGCUCUCACCUGUUCAAUCAGCUCUCACCUGUUCAAUCAGCUCUCAGUGCUGCUGCUGAAAGAUUUAAACUACCGCCCACAAUCUGUCCUUUUCCUCUGGGAAUAAUAAUAAAUAACCUCCAUGGAUCCGCUGCUCGGCCUCCUCCCUGUCACUCAGCACCAAGAUCGUGUGCAGGUUCUGCGUGUCGUCCAGGUUCUGGGGAUAGUUGGCCAUGUUCUCCCCCAACUGAAGCAGACAGUCUGAGAACCCUUUAAACACCGAGUCACAUUGACCAGCACUGACCAGCACCGUCUGCAAC